rnacentral:rRNA from 1 species
AAAAACACAGCACUCUGCUAACACGAAAGUGGACGUAUAGGGUGUGACGCCUGCCCGGUGCUGGAAGGUUAAUUGAAGAUGUGAGAGCAUCGGAUCGAAGCCCCAGUAAACGGCGGCCGUAACUAUAACGGUCCUAAGGUAGCGAAAUUCCUUGUCGGGUAAGUUCCGACCCGCACGAAUGGCGUAACGAUGGCCACACUGUCUCCUCCUGAGACUCAGCGAAGUUGAAGUGGUUGUGAAGAUGCAAUCUACCCGCUGCUAGACGGAAAGACCCCGUGAACCUUUACUGUAGCUUUGCAUUGGACUUUGAAGUCACUUGUGUAGGAUAGGUGGGAGGCUUAGAAGCAGAGACGCCAGUCUCUGCGGAGCCGUCCUUGAAAUACCACCCUGGUGUCUUUGAGGUUCUAACCCAGACCCGUCAUCCGGGUCGGGGACCGUGCAUGGUAGGCAGUUUGACUGGGGCGGUCUCCUCCCAAAGCGUAACGGAGGAGUUCGAAGGUUACCUAGGUCCGGUCGGAAAUCGGACUGAUAGUGCAAUGGCAAAAGGUAGCUUAACUGCGAGACCGACAAGUCGAGCAGGUGCGAAAGCAGGACAUAGUGAUCCGGUGGUUCUGUAUGGAAGGGCCAUCGCUCAACGGAUAAAAGGUACUCCGGGGAUAACAGGCUGAUUCCGCCCAAGAGUUCAUAUCGACGGCGGAGUUUGGCACCUCGAUGUCGGCUCAUCACAUCCUGGGGCUGUAGUCGGUCCCAAGGGUAUGGCUGUUCGCCAUUUAAAGUGGUACGUGAGCUGGGUUUAAAACGUCGUGAGACAGUUUGGUCCCUAUCUGCAGUGGGCGUUGGAAGUUUGACGGGGGCUGCUCCUAGUACGAGAGGACCGGAGUGGACGAACCUCUGGUGUACCGGUUGUAACGCCAGUUGCAUAGCCGGGUAGCUAAGUUCGGAAGAGAUAAGCGCUGAAAGCAUCUAAGCGCGAAACUCGCCUGAAGAUGAGACUUCCCUUGCGGUUUAACCGCACUAAAGAGUCGUUCGAGACCAGGACGUUGAUAGGUGGGGUGUGGAAGCGCGGUAACGCGUGAAGCUAACCCAUACUAAUUGCUCGUGAGGCUUGACUCUAU